AGGUCAGGCAUUCGAGACCAGCCUGAACAACAUGGUGAAACCCCGUCUCUACUAAAAAUACAAAAAAUUAGCCAGAGACAGGGUUUCACCAUGUUGUACAGGCUAGUCUCCAACCCCUGGGCUUAAGCAAUCCUUCUGCCUCGGCCUCCCAAAGUGCUGGGAUUACAGAGAUGCUCAAGCACUGAAUUGUCUUAAGAAAACAAGUAAGGUUUUGUCACCUAUCCUAUUUCUCACUGCAAGUUGAAAAAAAUCAAAUCCAAACACCACCACCCCUUCUAUGACAACAAACGGCUGUGGAGGUAAUCUUAUUUUCCUAAGGGUAGUUUCAUGAUGACAGUGUCAAAAAAUUACUGUGGAUAAAGAAAAAAUUGUCUCAAUGAAAUAGAAUUUUUCACUGAACACAGAAACCAUCUCAAUAGUUGCUGCUCCCUGGUUUCCAGGCCACGCAACAGACAUCAAACCAGGAAGCCAAACUUUCAUGGACCUGUG
rnacentral:lncRNA from 1 species